ACCAUUACGGAGCAAACAACGUUGAUGAUUAUAGUCUAACAAAAGCUUCCGUUUUCGAGCGAUCUGCGAGCUCGGAGACACAGAGGAUUACCCUUAUACGGUAUGGGGUGAGCCGAGAGACGUGGAACUCGACA
rnacentral:lncRNA from 1 species